rnacentral:rRNA from 1 species
AUUGAACGCUGGCGGAAUGCUUUACACAUGCAAGUCGAACGGUAGAGGGGGCAACCCCUCGAGAGUGGCGAACGGGUGAGUAAUAUAUCGGAACGUGCCCAGUCGUGGGGGAUAAGGUAGCGAAAGUUGCGCUAAUACCGAAUACGAGCUAAGGAUGAAAGCGGGGGAUCGAAAGACCUCGCGCGAUUGGAGCGGCGGAGAUCAGAUGAGGUAGUUGGUGGGGUAAAGGCGCACCAAGCAAACGAUCUGUAGCUGGUCUGAGAGGACGAGCAGCCACACUGGAACGGAGACACGGUCCAUACUCCUACGUGAGGCAGCAGUGGAGUAUUUUGAACAAUGAACGCAACUCUGAUCCAACCAUUCCGCGUGCAGGAUGAAGGCCCUCGGGUUGUAAACUGCUUUUGUACGGAACGAAAAGGUCUCUCUUAAUACGGGGGGCUCAUGACGGUACCGUAAGAAUAAGCACCGGCUAACUACGUGCCAGCCGCCGCGGUAA